GGUUACAUUCCGAACCCGGAAGUUAAGCUCUUCAGCGCCGAUGGUACUGCACUCGGGAGGGUGUGGGAGAGUAGGUCGCCGCCGGAC
rnacentral:rRNA from 1 species